rnacentral:lncRNA from 15 species
AAAACAAGCAGACAGUAUUUGUAAAAGCCAAUGUGAAAGUUGUACAUUUGACAGGAAAACAUUUGGUCAAACGCAAUGUGAAGAGUGUAAGAGAUGGUACCAUGAUUGCUUCAUAAACUCUGGUAUAUGUAAAGGAAAAACAGAUUAUUUGAAUGUGGUAUGGAUAUGCAUUUGUGGGUACUCAAAUUACUCAUGUAGUAUCAUUGACAAUUUCGGUAUUUUUUCAGAUGAUGGAUACUAUGAUUUCUUGAUUGACGAAUGCAUUAUUGACCAUGAUGAGUACACAGUACAGAGUGGACAGCAAAGAACACCUGGAACAUGUCUCAAAGAAAUGUCUGGAGGAGGAUCAAGAAAAUCAAAGAAACCACACAAGAAAGAUCAUCUGCAGGAGGGGAGCUCUGUGGUUCGCUGGCUUUGGAUGGAACGCAACCAGGCCACCUAGCUCUUCAACAUCUCAGGCAAUGUGAACACUCCCUGUACCGUGGAGGAGUCCAAGUCUACCCUCUCAAGUUCUUGAUUGAGAAGCACGCUGGUGGUGUAGAGGGCGGUUGGGAUAACCUCUUGGCUGUCAACCCAGGGGGUGCAUCUACUUCUAUGAUCCCUAAAGAAUCAUCUGCAGGAGGGGAGAUCUGUGGUUCGCUGGCUUUGGACGUGAACGCAACCAGGCCACCAAUCUCUUCAACAUCUCAGGCAAGUGAACACUCCCUGUACCGUGGAGAAGUCCAAGUCUACCCCUCUCAAGUUCUUGAUUGAGAAGCACGCUGGUGGUGUAGAGGGCGGUUGGGAUAACCUCUUGGCUGUCAACCCAGGGGGUUCAUCUACUUCUAUGAUCCCUAAAGAAUCAUCUGCAGGAGGGGAGCUCUGCGGUUCGCUGGCUUUGGACGUGAACGCAACCAGGCCACCAAACUCUUCAACAUCUCAGGCAAUGUGAACACUCCCUGUACCGUGGAGGAGUCCAAGUCUACCCCCCUCAAGUUCUUGAUUAAGAAGCACGCUGGUGGUGUAGAGGGGGGUUGGGAUAACCUCUUGGCUGUCAACCCAGGGGGUUCAUCUACUUCUAUGAUCCCUAAAGAAUCAUCUGCAGGAGGGGAGCUCUGUGGUUCGCUGGCUUUGGACGUGAACGCAACCAGGCCACCAAACUCUUCAACAUCUCAGGCAAUGUGAACAAGAGUACCUCAUUUUGAAUCAUUGGUAGAUAGAUGGCUCUUUGCACUUUGACCAAUGACCUUAUCUAUAUUUCAUCCAUCAAGCACCGAUGAUUUGUUAUUAUCUCCAGCAAUGCACAUGAUUGGAAUAAACAACCUCACACAACUGAUAUUGGCACUGUCUUAUUUAUUUGUAUGGAUUCUUUUAUGUAAUACUUGUUUUAAGUAAGUGAAAAUUGCAUGAUUUAAAAACCACUAAAAUGUUUACAAUAUUGACUAUCCUUUUUGUGGUUUUGAUAUUUGAUUAGAAUCAUAAUUAUACACAUGAAAACAUUGAAAAGUUACAUCCUAGUGAAAAUAGAAUUUUGUACAAUGUCUUCAUAUUUAAUUAUUACAAAUUUCUUGCUUGAAAGACACUUUUUGUGUGUAUGUGAAAAAAGAGCGAAAGAAGGAACUGAUUCUUUAAUGGGAAAUUUAACUUUACUAUAAAAUUGUUCUGAGGAAGAAAAAAAAAAUCAUAUAAGCAGAUUGGUGAAAUUUUAAACAAAAUCAGUCAAACUAGGAAAUUAUUAAUUUGUGAAAUUUGUAAACACUAGACAUAUGGGAAUCUCAAAUUGGCAAAUGAACCAUUCAACUGUGAUGUAUUUGUGGUAUUUUUUUCAUUGGUUGGAGACUAAAUAUCAUUAAUUUCUGUUUUUCUUCUAAACGCCUUUUCAUUUCAGGCAAAUCUAAAAGUACAUUUUGGGUAGCACGUUGAUAUAGAUCUUCCACACAAAAAAAUCUACCUACCGGUAGUCGUAAAUUUAGGAAAUUCUCAUUUUAGUCUUUUUGUGUAAUGGAACAAAUGUUAGAGUUUGCUGCCACUACAUUACAGUGACAUAAAAAUUAAAGUUUUCCUAUUUAUUUUUUUCUGUUAAACUUGUCAUCACUAUUGCAUUAUUAAAAUCAUUAUUACUGUG